rnacentral:lncRNA from 1 species
CUGUCAGACCGCAGCUGGACUGCUUCACCAAAGCUGAGUCACACUGCUCUGCUCCCAGUGACUGCUUCCAAACAAUUAAACCAGAGAGGCACCUGUGUAAAUAUGUAAUCUCUGGUGAUAAGAAAAUGAUUAGGCAGCAGAACUUGAGCUGAACUGGUGAAAAUCUUGUGCUUCCCUCUGGGGGCAUUUUACACGUGCUGUUGAGCGGUUCCCAUCUCAAGAACAAGGUCAAGUUCUUCCUCCCUCUCCUCACCUUGUUUGUUUGGAAAAUUCAGCUAAUCAGUUCUCACGAGAUUUGGUCUGCUGGCAGACAUUGAACUUUUACUCUAAAGGAGUCAUCUCUUGGGUGAGCUGAAAGAAAAGAAGCUAAAGUUGAAACCAGGUGCGCUUCCCUGACCUUUCUGUGAGGGACGGGGCGGGUCCCAGACCCCCAAGCCCUGGCUUCGCUUGAUGACUCACUGCCAGCCAGCGGCCCCUGUACUGGGAAGGAGCUGAGUGAGUCUCCCCAGCCUGCCUGUUCUCUGCCACCUCGAAGUAGCUGCACUGGAAGAGCUAUGACAGCAGCCUCCUGCGGGCCUAUGGUUCGGGACAGACAGGGGUGACUGGGCGCCCCC